AAGGCUUAUCGGCCUUUUGGCUAAGAUCAAAUAUAGAAUUUGUUCUUAUCACUUUAAUAAUGUUGUAUGCCUUCAAAUCAUUUCUGACUUAUAGCAACCACAUCACAGGGCUUUCUUAUCCAGAUUUGUUCAGAGAGGGAUUGCCAUUGUUUUUGUCUGAGUCUAAGGGCACUUCCAGACAGGGCUCAAACUCA